AUCUUAAAUCUAGCUU
rnacentral:rRNA from 1 species